rnacentral:lncRNA from 1 species
CAGAUUAAUAAUUUGAUUCAAGAUUCGUCUUCACCGUUAGGUUCGUCUCGACGAGACCUUUAAAAUAAGAUCCCAUGUUGACAUGUUUCGUUGAUAUUUUUUCGUCGUUCUUAGUUGCCACAUUUAUGUCAUUAUAAUUGUCAUUUUACGGAUGUACAGUUGUCACAAAAAUUAUGCAUAGUUAUCGGGACAAUAAUUUUUUAUUUUUUAAGUAUUGCAGUGUUAUGUGGAGCUAAAAAGUGGUUAUUAAAGCACUAACAAUAAGCAAGUAAAUGCAUGAACCAGUAGAAGUACAAUGAAUCAAGUUUUUUUAUGGUGUAUA